GGAGCCUGCGUUUAAUUCAUUCAUUUCACCACCCGCGCUCAGUCUCUUUCCCAGUGCAGUAGAUUGUAGAAUCCAGAGCGAAGGGGGAGGCGAGGAGGACUUACGAGCCAUCGAGCCAGGACGGGUUGAUGAACUCGGCGUCACUCUUGAAAGCGGGGAUCCACGACUUCUUGGCGGCGGCCGCGGCGACGACCACCACGCGGCGCGUCGCGGGCUUCGCGGCGGCGCCGAAGGAAGCGGCAUUGGCGAGCGCGCGCCGAGCCCCGAGGAACGGGUUCUUGAGCACGGCCGCGGAGGCGGUGGCGGAGGUGGAGGCGAGCGCCAUUAAUCAAAUCGUUGGUCCGAGCCCCUUGGGCGCGCGGCGGAGGCAGAGUGGCUGGUCGGAAGGAGGGUGCAAGGAUUGCAGGGAUGCAACGACGGUUUUGAUGUUAAAUCGUGGCGCUGCGGCGCGGGGCAGCCACAAGAUGCGGGCGAGGAAAUCUUGGUGCGGUAGGAUGGAUAGAGCGCUGGCCAAUGGGGAGCUGGCGCCAUCGGAUUCGGCUGCGCCGGUGGACGCCGCGUGGACAA
rnacentral:lncRNA from 1 species